AAUUUAAUUUUAUACGAUUUAUAAAUUGACAAAUUUGACCAUACCGAUGAAACGAACAGGGGAUUCCCGGGGUUGUAAAAUAUAUACAUAAGGCUAUUAGGUUCAUGCAAGUACAUAGUGCGAAUUGACCUGGUUCUAUAAUGUCAAAGGAUUUAAAGAAAAAUCAAAAUUUUAGAAACUAAAAUUCAAAUAUUAGACCGUCUACGUAAUAGAGAAAGAAUAGAAAAUGGCAAAAAUGUUAGUGAUAUGGAUAGAAGACCACACUCAAAAGCGAAUCCUGAUCGAUACCAAUGCUGUUACAAAAAAGCUUUAAAGGUUUAUCAAUCACUUCAGAGUCAAUCGCCGUCGAUUUCAUCCGGUGAAAAGAAGAGUUCUUUUUCUGCAAGCCAUGGGUAAUUUGAGAGAUUAAAACAAAGACAUUCUUUACAUUAUCUGAGAAUGAAAGGUGAAAGUAUAUCUGCUGAUUCGGUUGUAUCACAACAAUAUCCAGCAAAAUUUGCUGAAAUCAUUGCCGCAAACUCCUACACUUCUGAUCAGGGUUUCAAUGCUGACCAGUCCGAAUUAUUCUGGAAAAAAUGCCGAAAAAAAACCUUCAUAGCCAAAGCUUACAAAUCAGCUAGUGGUCAUAAAGUAGCGGAAAGACGAAUAACAGUUAUUUUCUGUUGCAAUGCUUCAGGCGAAUAUGAUGAAACCAUUGGUGAUUAACAAAUCAAAAUCACCACGCUCAUUCAAAGAAAUAAAUAUCAAAAACCUUCCUGUCUAUUGGAUGGCUAAUAAAAAAGCAUGGAUCACUGCCAUCGUUUUCAAUGAAUGGUUCUUUGUUCCUGAUGUCAAAAAUUAUUUAACUAAUAAGGGAUUGCCGUUUAAGGCUCUUCUAUUAAUUGAUAAUGCUCCAGAUAAUCUCCAGGUAAUCUUCCAGAUUUACAAUACGAAAAUGUAAAGGUUGUUUUUGUUCCGAAGAAUAGAACUUCCUGAUUACAGCCAUUAGAUCAAGGGACCAUUUUAAUCAUCAAUAUAGCAUUAAUAUUCGCAGAUCACUGAGUUAGCCCAUACUAUGAGGAGAAGGUUUUGAAGAUUUAGCUGAGGCAGAUGAAGAUGAUUUAAUUAACAUAAUUUAUCAUACAAAGAAACAUGAUGAAGACAUGAUUCAGAUGAAAAGCAAUCUGAACCAGUUGCGUUCACAGCAAGAAUCAUAAGCGUAACACUUGAAUUAGGAAGAAAAUUGGGCAACCAAUUUCAGCGAGAACUUCGUAAAUGCUUAAAUCAAUAUGAAGAACUCUAAAAAUUUAGCAAAAAAACAUACGUAAUUGUUAAUUAUUUUUGUUUUACUUAAAUAAAUAAUUGAAUCAUGCA